GACGAACGCUGGCGGCGUGCCUAACACAUGCAAGUCGAGCGAGUGAAUCUCCUUCGGGAGUGAAGCUAGCGGCGGACGGGUGAGUAACACGUGGGCAACCUGCCUCAUAGAGGGGAAUAGCCUUUCGAAAGGAAGAUUAAUACCGCAUAAGAUUGUAGCUUCGCAUGAAGUAGCAAUUCAAGGAGCAAUCCGCUAUUAGAUGGGCCCGCGGCGCAUUAGCUAGUUGGUGAGGUAACGGCUCACCAAGGCGACGAUGCGUAGCCGACCUGAGAGGGUGAUUGGCCACAUUGGGACUGGGACACGGACCAGACUCCUACGGGAGGCAGCAGUGGGGAAUAUUGCACAAUGGGGGAAACCUUGAUGCAGCAACGCCGCGUGAGUGAUGACGGUCUUCGGAUUGUAAAGCUCUGUCUUUAGGGACGAUAAUGACGGUACCUAAGGAGGAAGCCACGGCUAACUACGUGCCAGCCGCCGCGGUAACAC
rnacentral:rRNA from 1 species